rnacentral:rRNA from 1 species
CUCCUUUGACGUUAGCGGCGGACGGGUGAGUAACACGUGGGUAACCUACCUAUAAGACCGGGAUAACUUCGGGAAACCGGAGCUAAUACCGGAUAAUAUUUCGAACCGCAUGGUUCGAUAGUGAAAGAUGGUUUUGCUAUCACUUAUAGAUGGACCCGCGCCGUAUUAGCUAGUUGGUAAGGUAACGGCUUACCAAGGCGACGAUACGUAGCCGACCUGAGAGGGUGAUCGGCCACACUGGAACUGAGACACGGUCCAG